CAAUGUUCAGGUACAAUUCUUCUUUUUGCUAUACAUUUGGUUUAGGCUUCCUAUGGUAACUCGUUUCAAUAGAGGUUUUUUGGUAACAACAUGGUAUUAACAAUGAUAAUAUAUUAAACAUAUAAAUAAAUAUAUAUAACAUUAAUAGAUACAUCAAAUAACAUAUAUAUAGCUUUUUUCAUAAACAUAUGUUUGAGGGCUACAUACUUUUGAUCUAGUUGGGUCUUGACUAUUUUACUGGUUUCUAGAUUUCUGCCUUUUGAUGUCAUAAUUCUCUAGCUUCUAUUCUAGCAAUGCUGAGUUACCUAUUUGUUACAAUUUCCACAUUUUAAUGUAAUUCACAUAUUUUAUUCUUCCUAUCCCUCUUGUGCCCUUUUUCAUACAAUGCUUAGUAGAAAAUACAUAAUUAAAAAUUGUUCUUUUGUUUGUUAUAGGCCACUAUCGGUUGGAAAGGAAUCAAAAAUCGGAUUUGUUGACACAAGGCGCUUCAUCAAUAUUGAAUUUAUUAAGACAGUAUGUCCGCAUAAAACGAGAGAUCUCUGCCAUACGUCGCUCCACAGGAUUAGCUCUGGGGUUAUAAAAAGAAGUUCUUGACCAUUUAAUAUUAGCCAGGAAAGCUGCACUGAAUUUGUCUAAUGUCCUGAAUUCGUGAUUAUGGAUCUGGAAGAACAUCAGAGGUUCACCGCUCAACAAACUGUUUAAUCGAAGUCGCCACAUAUUCCAAGAGAUGUGACUCUGCCUCCAGGGAUACUGGAUCUGCGGGCUGCUCCUCACCCCCCUCGAUGUUGAUCUCUGCUAUCCUCUGGUUCAGCGGUGCGUCGGUGGCGUCGAUCUGAGUGGAUGACAGAGGUUGCAGAUUUUGUGGAUCAAAAACUAUUGACCCAC